CGCCACGGCGACUACGGCAGCGUCGGGGUCAUCGUCGUCCUCAUCCGCACAGGGAAGCUGGACUGGGAGGUUUACUGCUUCCGGUCGGCAGACGAUGGAUAUGACGCUAUGCCCAGCACGAGUGCUAACGCCAUCACGGCCGGCACCACUGGCACCAGCAGCCGUUCGGUGUGCUCUCCGGCAUGCUGCAGUCGAAGGGUCGAGCAGGAGCUAUGGAUGCCAGCAAACAAGCCUGUGCAGACGGCAAUGCAUCAAUCAAAUCGGAUGGAGAACAUCACACAACAGCCUUUCUCCAGGACAUAAAGAAAAUGGUGGCACUUUGGGUUUUGAAGACGCCGCCUCGCGUAGGACUACGAACAUGGGACGCUCAGUCGAGUUUUUCUUAACUCGUCAGGAUUCUCAUGCUGCAAAUUUAGUAACGGGGCAAAUUUUUUGGUGUCCUGGUGUGUUUGCGGAUUGAUGAAAAUUUGGCGAGGGAGAUCAUAAACCAUCGCUCGCUGCAGCACAUCAAUUGUUGAAUUCGUUUGAAGGAGCUGUCAAUUGUUGAAUUCGCUUGAAGGAGAUGGAGCUUGUUUGGCUGAAUUUGCUACUGAGCUGCCACAUUUUGAGGGCCUGCAAUUGAAGAAUACAACACUUGAGAUAACAAUUGAAGAAUACUAGAGUAAUAAUAACUACUGCAAGAUUGAUGUAUUUUCUUUUUGUUGGAGAUUUUCUGCAUCUUUUAUGGACGGUAACAUUUGAGAUAACAAUUUGAUGUGCUAACCAUCAAGAUCAACUUUGACAUGUUUGGUCUCUAAAAGUUACUAUUGACCAUCAUUAGUACAUCCUAUAAGAAGGGGAAAAUAAAGCAUUAAUGUGGAGUAUGUUCCAAUGGAAAUCUUCAGGAACACCUUGAAGGUCUGAGUGCAAUUUUUCUUUAGUUCUCUGUGAGCUUAAAAAUGCAACUGAUGUGGCCCAUGCAACUGAAAUUAAAAACAUGGAGAAGAAUCAUAAAAGAUCUCGCUGAAAAUGCCCUCGUUCCGCACUUCGUGUGGACAGGCAGCGCCCUUUACCUUUGAAGUCUCGAAAAAUGGUCUGGGUGAUGCGGGUGCCUCAAUGCUUGAUGCCAUGUUCUGUAAGAGGCCAAGGUUAAUGUAUGACUAUCACGUUCCCCACCAAGUGAAAUGUGCUAUUUCACCACAAACAUUGACGAAGUUAAGUUCAGUGCAGGCAAAAUGGAUAAGUCUGUAACUGGAACUCUGGAUAGUUGAUCCUCUGACUGGCAAAAAAUUUAUCAAAGUUGCUGAGGUUCAGGGGUCUGAAAUUAA